rnacentral:rRNA from 1 species
UACGUAGGGGGCAAGCGUUGUCCGGAGUUACUGGGCGUAAAGCGCCCGCAGGCGGUCUGCCAAGUUCAGACUGACAGUUCCCAGCUUCACUGGGGAAGGCGUAUGAAAACUGGCAGACUUGAGGGAUAGAGAGGGACAAGGAAUUCCGGGUGGAGUGGUGAAAUGCGUAGAUAUCCGGAGGAACACCAAAGGCGAAGGCAUUGUCCUGGCUAUCUCCUGACGCUCAGGGGCGAAAGCUAGGGGAGCGAACGGG